UGGCCGUACUGUAUGACAGCCACAAAAUUUAGGUGUUCAAUCGGAAACUCGAGGGAUUCUUUUUAUGUAUAUUAUCCCAUGUUAGUUGAGACAAUUCAUUGAUCACACAAGAAAAGAUAACAAAAAUGUUGUUCCUCUUCCUAAUAGCUAUACCUGCACUUGUAAUUUUCCUUUUAAAAAAUUGCAGAAAAGUUGGAGUCAAAAAUUACAUAACGAAUAUAGGCAUCUCUCUAGCACGAGUGUUCCUCGUUUUUUGGUAUUUUAGGGCAAAAAAUAGGAAUUCAAGACGAUUCCCUGAUUUUUGAGUGCUAUAGUCUAUGUCAUCGACAUGUAUUCGGGUGACUGUGUGAUGACCUGAUAGGUCAUUUAUGUGUUCCGAGCCCUCAAAUAGAUCCGUUUAGCCUUCCUCAAUUUACGUGCGCAGUCCGUGUCUUUUCCAAAAAUUUUUUAUGAAAAAAUUGAUGAAAAUUUGAAACCGUGCUUUAAAACUCAUUUGAGUUGAAUAUGGUAAACGUUUUGUGUAAACAGACCUGGAUCAGUAUUUUUACGGUUCUUGUGGGUCCAUAUCGUGAUUUGGGAUUUGAACGUAUGCCCUAAAUCAAAUUCGGAAGUCCCUAACUUGAUUUAACGUAAUUUAUUGAUAACUAACAAUUUUAAGGUUUAAAGAAUUCGUGAGUUUGACCGUAGGUUGACUUCGUUGCUACCGGAUUUGGAUUUCCGUUCCAAAACUUGGUGUAGGUUCAUUUCAGUAAUUAUGACUUAUUUGCAUAAUUUUGUGCAAAACGGAGUUGAUUUGACGUGAUUCGGACGUCCAGUUGUAAAAUUUCAUGUUCUUGAGUUUCUUUAAAAUUUUUAAUUGUUUUGGUGUCUGAUUCAUGGUUUUACGUGUUAUUUUAAAGUUUUGAUCGUGCGAGCGAGUUCGUAUGAUGUUAUUACAUAUAUGUGCAUGUUUGGUUUGGAGCUUGAGGGGCUUGGGUCAGUUUCAGAUAGGCUACAGACCAUUUGAACUUAGAAAAAUUGCUGGUUUUGGGGGUCUACUGUUACCUGGUGUGUUCUUCUUCACGAUCGCGAAGAGUAUCCAGAGCUAGGGAUGGAUUUUCCCUACGUGAACAUGGGGAAUAGGUUGCGAACUCUAAGCUUUGGGGGGCUUAACCUUCGUAAACGCGACCACCCACACGCGAACGCGAAGGUUUGUGGGAUUCUGGGGGGGGGGGGGGGGGGAGCUGGGCUGGUGUUCUACACGAACGCGGUCAUUGGGCAGCGAAUGUGAUGGCCGGGGGGAAGUACCAUUACGAACAAGAAGAACGUCUCGCGAAUACGAAGGCCAUUUGGGCCACAAUGCUUCGUGAUCUUGUCAGGUCUAUCGCGAACACGAUGAAGACCUAAUGCCAGUGAUUUAAAGUGUCUCAAAUAUGGGAUUUCACCCAUUUUUCACCAUCUUCUCAUUAGAACUCGGCCUAGAGACGAUUUUGAAGAGAGAUUUGAUCAUCCUUUCAUAGGUUAGUGUACUUUAACUCAUUUGCUUCCAUUUCCAUCAAAAUCCAUUGAUUUCUAACCUUAAUCUAUAUUCUUUCAUAGUAGAAAAUUAGAUAUUUGGGAAGAAUAGGGGGUGGGGGUGGGGGUGGGGUGGGGAGGGGGGGUUUGUAAAAUUAAAAUUUAGACCUCAAAUUGAGUUCAGAUUUUGAAACUAAUCAUAUAAUCGGGCUUGGGGGUGAAUGGGUAAUUUGGUUUUGGUUCGAAUCUCGAGUUUUGACCAAGCAGGCCCGGGGUUAACGUUUAUUAACUUUUUGGGAAAAGUGUAUAUAUCUUAACUUUAUGUAUUGUAAUUGAUUUCCCUAACAUUAUUUGAUGUUAUUGAGUCAAUUUUGGUUAGAUUCGAUUGGUUUGGAGGCGGAUUUUAGAGGAAAGGCCUCGAUUGAGCUUUGAUUUGCUUGCAGAGCGAGGUAAGUGUUGGGUAUAACCUUGAUUUGAGGGAAAAAGAACCCUUGAGCUAUGUGCUAUGUGAAUUAUAUGUGUAGCGGCGUAUAUGCGAGGUGACGAGUGUAUAUACGCCGUCAAAAUACAUAUUUCCAUAUUUUUUCGCAUUUCAUUAAUUGUUUUAUUCUAUGUCUUAACUGUUACAUGCUUUAAUUAUUUUCCUAUGCCUUAACUUGCUACUUGUCACUUGUUUCUCUCAUAUUAAAAUGUUUGUUUCUCCCAUGCUUCCAUGAUUAAUGGCUACUUUCCUUAAAUGUCCAUUUGUAUACUUUAAUUAUCAUAUAUUUGACUGUCUUGUUGCUUUGUAUUAAUUAUAGCAUCUCUUGAGUUGUACAAGGCUCCGUAUGACUUUGCUUUCAUAUUAUGUAAUCAUAGAGAUUCUUGUGAUUUGAGUUGAUGAGUUGAUUUCAUUUAUUGAUUUUGUUUAUGGAUCGGGUUGCAAGCCGCAACAGGUAGAAUAAGGGAGGAUUGAUAUUGAUAUGGUGAGAUCGGGUUGCACGCCGCAACGAAUUUUAUAUGUAAUAUCGCAACAGAUGAAAUAAGGGAGGAUAAUGAUAUUGAUAUUGAUACGGUUAAAUAAGGGAGGAUUACAGUGGGAUCGGUUUGCAUGCCGAAACGGGUGAAAUACGAUAGGAUUAUGUUUGUACAGUGAGAUCGGGUUGUGUGCUGCCACAUAAUGUGUGUUUUGUAUUCCUUAUUACAUUGUGUUAGCGUUCAGUGCUUUCGUACGAGCUUUUGAGGACUGGUGUUUCUUAUUUUACUAAUUUCGAGGAUUGAGUUUAUUGUCAUCAGUUAACUGCUUUACUUUUCGUGCCUUUCUUUCCUGUUAUUAUUAUCAUUAUACUGCGUACAAGUUAUUAUAAGUGACCCGCCUUAGCCUCGUCGCUACUUUGUCGAGGUUAGACUCGGCACUUACAGAGUACAUGGGAUCGGUUGUACUCAUACUACACUCUGCACUUUUUGUGGAGACUUUGGAGUCGGUCACAAUGGCGGUCAAUAGAUUGCUCAGAUCAGACAUCUGACGGAGGCUUAGGUACAACUUCUCGGCGUUCGUAGCACUGAAUUCCCCUUCUACCUUUAUCCUAGCUGUUUAUUUUAUUUCAGACAGUUUUACUUUGGUUCAGACUAUUAUCUGUAUUAUUCUAGCCUCUCAUGCACUUGUGACACCAGUUCUGGGAUUGUAUCUAUAUAUUUCGGUUGUUAUAGUUUUGUCACUUAUUUCAGUUCUAUUUCAGUUAAAUUGGUACCAGUUAAUCUUAUUUGUUACAAAGGCUAGAAAUUGUUCUAACGUUGGCUUGCCUAAUAAGUGAAAUGUUAGGUGCCAUCGGUCAUCACGGUUCUGAGGGUGAAAAUUCCGGGUUGUGACAAUAAAAAGUGAGUAAAACCCGAUGAAUAAUAACAACAAAAAUGAAUUAACUAAUGGAGAGACAAUAAAAGUCGUCUGAGACGCUGUUACAACAAUGUUAGACACCGGAGCAACGAUGAGAGAUAUGGCGAACAAAGGUUACCGAAAAAUUCUGACCAAACUCUGAGGUCAAAGUUUCAGCUAGCUAUCGUUUAAAUCACUCGAACAUAUCUUUUUUUUUUCUUUUCAGUUUUUACAAAAAAAAAUACUUCAAAAAAUUGAAAAAUAUAUAUUUUGAAUUUUUUUUUCCAAUUUUUACAGAAUAUAUAUUUUUCAGUUUUUAAAAUAUUUUUUUUCAGUUUUUACAAAAAAACAUACUUUAAAAAAACUGAAAAGACUUAAAAAUAUAUACUUUGCAAAUUCCUUUUUUUUUUUCCAGUUAUUACAAAAGAAAAUUUCAGUUUUUAUAAAAUAUAUGCUUUAAAAAAACUGAAUUUUAAAACGGGUCAGAUGGUGGAUUUUUAAAAACGGAACGGGUAAAAAAAAAAAAUUGGUCGUUUUCAUCUGGUGCUGACACAUGACACUCCAUCCAAAAUAAGGGUAUAUUUGUUCAAAGUAUGACGAGAAGGGUAUAUAUAGCCCAAUAGUAUAACGAGGGGUAUUUUUUUAACCAUUUUCAAAAGUACAAAAGUAUAUUUGGCUCUUUGCCUAUAUCAUUUUUUGUCUCUCUUAUUGUCUUAUUUUAUAUUUCUAUUAUUAUAUGUUAAUUAUCUUAACCCUUUUUUUUUUUUGUUGUUAUUGUUUUUAUCUUCAUUACUCUUAACAUGACCUUUUCAUUAUAUAACCAUAUUUAUUUACACGACACAUUAUCAUUUUUUCUCUUUCUUAUUAUCUUAUCUUAUAUUUUUAUUACUACGUAUCCUUUUCAUUGCUUUAUUUAUCUUAGUGCUUUGUUUUUGCUGUUUUUACCGUUGCUGUCUUCAUUACUCUCAAUAUGGCUUUCCACAACUGUUUUUUCUUUUCAAACCUGCUGAGUAAUGAGUCGAGGGUUUAGCGGAAACAAACUCUCUAUUUCCACAAUGUAAGAGUAGAGUCUACGUACACACUAUCCUUCUCGAGCUCAGACCCCAUACCGUAGGAAUAAACUGGUAUAUUAUUGUUUUGUUUAUUGUUGAUACAUUUUCAAGAUAUGCAUUUGUACCUUCAUCCUAUUUUUGUAACGACCAUUGAUCGCCUAUAGAGUUUAUAAGAUAAAAGGAAAUUUUCGACGUAGUAUAAUAUUAUUCUUCAAUUCGUUAGUAUCUAAUAAAUCUGUUUUGGAUAAUACGUAAAAAUCUUUUUGUAGUUAUAUCAAAUUUUCAGUUGAACACCUAAAUUUUGUGGGGUUAAUUCUAUGACCCGCUAUAGUUAUUUGAAGUGAUAUAAAUAUUACCUUUUGAACCCAGGAAAAAAUAAUUCUCAGACACUUCCUUUACAUUAACCAAGCUUUUAGUUUGAAGCAACAAUUUCCUCAAAUUUUUGGUCUUCUCUUGGGUUUGAUCUUGCUGGGUUUUUGUUCUCGGCUUGGAUAUGAUUUCCAUCCUUCCGGUUAGAUAAAGACUGCAUAUAAGUUAGGGAAGAAUUAAGAAAAGGAAAGAAGAAAAAGAAAAAUAAUAAGAAAAAGAAAAUAUAUUAACAAAAGAUGUUGUAAAAAUUGCAAAACUUUUUUUGUAUUUAUAAACAAUGUGGUAUCUCGAAAGUGCGUUAGUCGGUUUAAUCAUGAAACGUCCAAAAAGCCUGGUCAAAUACGAACAUUAUUAUUAUAAAAAUACGUUCUAGAACAUGUUAUUAUUGAAUUGAGUGAGGGGUCCCUUUCUUUCAUACGACUGAACCCGCAAAUUACGUAGAUUGUUUUGCUUAGUAUUCCCUGAUCAAAAUAACAAUUAUUAUUAUAAAAUUAUGUCCUACAACAUGUUAUUGAAUUGAGUGAGAGGUCCCUUUCUUUUCUACGUGCAAAUUGCAUAGAUUGGUUUUCUUGGGAUUGCGUAAGUAACCGAACCAAUCAACAUAACAAUAGUAUAUAUAUAAAAAAAAAUACGUGGCAAAAUAUGAUUGGUCCUAAGAUACACUAAGUGGCCGUACUGUAUGACAGCCACAAAAUUUAGGUGUUCAAUCGGAAACUCGAGGGAUUCUUUUUAUGUAUAUUAUCCCAUGUUAAUUGAGACAAUUCAUUGAUCACACAAGAAAAGAUAACCAAAAUGUUGUUCCUCUUCCUAAUAGCUAUACCUGCACUUGUAAUUUUCCUUUUAAAAAAUUGCAGAAAAGUUGGAGUCAAGGCACAUAAUCAUCCACCAGGUCCCCCUGGACUUCCACUU
rnacentral:lncRNA from 1 species